UUUAAUGAACACUUACUGUGUGCUUUCAGUGUAUCGGUGCAUUUAAUCUACAAACCAGCUCCAUUGUACAGAUGCGAAUAGGGAGGCAGAGAGAGAUUCAGCAACUCACCGCAAAUCACACUUCCGAAGGGUUCUUUGUCUGCCUUGGUUAUGCCAGUGUGUGCAGGGCCCAGACACAGAGGCGCUCCCUUGCAGGAUAUUAGUUCCCCAACCAGGGAUUGAACCCAUGCCCCCUGCAGUGGAAGCUCGAGUCUUAACCACUGGCCCACCAGGGAAUUCCCAAUUUCACCUCCUCCUGAAUCUGGGUUGACCUGGUGACUUGCUUCGACCCAUAAGAUGUGGCAGAAGUGAUGUUCUGGCAGCUCUGUGGAGAGCUCCAUGUGGAAAGGACUGGGGCACUCAGCCUACAGACAGCACCAACUCGCCAGCUAUGUGAGUGAGUAACCUUAGAAAUGAUCCUCCAGCCCCAGUUGAGUCUUCAGAUGACUGUGGCCUCAGCCAACAUCUGACUGUAGUCUCAUGACAGACCCAAGUGAGAACUGCCCAGCUGGGUCCUUCUCAAAUUUCUUUUUUUUUUCUUUUUCUUUUUUGGUUGUGUUGGGUCUUUGUUGCUGUGCAUAGGCUUUCUCUGUGGCCAGCAGGGGCUACUC